CCCUCUCCCCUCUCAGCAGCACAUAGACACAGAGGACCCUCCGCCUGCCCCACCCCCACCAUGAGCACCUGCCUCCUGUGCUGUGUGGCCUUCUGUCUCCUGCAGGCAGGCCCAGUGAACGCUGGCGUCACUCAGGACCCAAAAUUUCAGGUGCUGAGGACAGGACAGAACAUGACAGUAAAAUGUACCCAGGACGUGGACCACAUCUAUAUGUACUGGUACCGACAAGACCUGGGACACGGGCUGAGGCUGAUCCAUUACUCAGCUGGCACUGCCAGCACCAGCAAAGGAGACGGUCCCAAGGGGUACAGCAUCUCCAGACCAAACCUCAAGAACUUCCCUCUCACGCUGGAGUCCGCCACCCCCUCCCAGACAUCUGUGUACUUCUGUGCCAGCAGUGACUCCACGGCGCUGCACGGCCACCUCCUCUCUGCACAAAAACACAGGGCAGGCCUUGCACCCUAA